CGGCAAGUUCAGGCAUGAUGAGCUUUUUCACAAUUCUGAGGCAGAAAAUUUAGAAAGCUGCUUUUAAAAUUUUUUUAGCAUAAAUUAAGGUUUAAUAUUACAUCCAAACAUAAAAAUUUACUUUGGAUUACAUGUAAAGUUAGUCCUGUAACCUUCCAGUGCUGAGAGCCAAGCAGGGACACUCAUGGGGCCGAGGGGGUGUCCCCAAGAGCACCCCACACAGGGCCCCCGGGAGGGGCUCACAGAAAGGCGGGCCAGACGGAGCGUGGUGAGAAUCAGAAGCCUGGUCCCUGGAGCAUUGGCCAGGCUGGGACGGAGAGAAGACUGGAGAUGCAUGAUGGGAAGCCAGUUACCGGCCUGUUGGUCGGUGGACACCUAUCUAGUAACCACUGUCUCCCAGGCACUGGGCUGCAUACAGGGGUACAGUAGUGAGCAACUCCUUUCCCUUGGGUGUUUACAUCCUGGGAUAGGAAAGGGGAAAGCCGAAAAAUACCACACGGACCACGCACAUCCACGCCCCGACAGACACACUGACGAUGGCGGGUUGGCAGCGUGCCCCAAGAACGCUGGCACUCAUGGAGUAGAAAGCGCACUCACUGGAGGCGAUGAGAGGAGGCACGGAGGCCGCUUCGGGGCCCUGCUUUCUCAGCCCCUCACGGCCGGACCAAUAAGCUGA
rnacentral:lncRNA from 1 species